CGGCGCGGCGGCCGCACAAGCGGCGGCGUCCGGCGGCUGGCAGGCCGCGGGGCGGGCAAAGGCUGCGCGGCGACGGGCAAGGAAGCGAGAAGGCCCGGCGGAGCGGAGGAGCCCGCGGCCGCCACCGGCAGCGCAGCGCAGGUCUCCUUCGAUGGCUCAUGCAAUCACCAAGAGGGACCAUGGGCUCCCUUUCCAUAACCAGCCUUACAUCACCAUUCAGUUCCGGCUCUGAAGAGGCUCCUUCCCAAUGGGUGGUGUCCUGGGAGAAGGUGGAGCGGUGGGAACGCUUCAUGGAGAAGGGAUUUGACUCAGACGGCCGUGGGCUGGCUUAGCCACAGGGUAGAUAACAGAACCGAUGCUUCAAUUCUGCUUUUUUUUUUUUUUUUUUUUCUGUCUUCUACUGUUUUGCCUUCCUCUCUCCUUUCUCCCUCGUGUCUCCUUUUUCAUUAGAGGUGCUGUGUGGUGUGCAGAAACACACACUUGACAGUGACUCCUGGCUUGGAAAGAGUAAACUUGCUGCUGGCCAGCUGAGUCUGCCUGUGUAGUGGGGGAGAAAGGAAUUUUUAUCCUUCAGAAGAACUGAGAAUGAGUCUUCUUUGUGCAAGAGUCUGUUUUUUCUGGGAUAAAUUUUGCAUUUAAGUGCAAGGAAGGCCCACUGUCUCUGGGAAGAGUAAAAGUAAGGAAAUUAUCAUCAGGGAACAUGAACAGCUAUAGCAAGCCCAGCAGGAGUCAAGCCUACUCACCUCUGAUCUGUAGUCACACUCCUUAUGCAUUGCACCACUGGCUUCAGCUAGCUCUUUCUUAAUUAGUACAUUUUUGUGUGUGUGUAGAUAUACACACACGCACGCAUGCACGCAUGCACACACACUGUAACCCUUUCUCCUUGUUCCUCCACCAUGGUGCAGUGUACCCUGUUAGAAAGUGUCUCAGAAGAAACCCAGGCCUGAAAAGCCUGCCUAACAGGAACCAGGGGUGUCCUAGCUAGCAGACAAUGAGGAAAAAUGUCCAUUCUUCGGUGUCCAUAUCUAGACAUACCUGUUUGCACACACUAGCAAUCCAAUCUGAAGUCCUCAAUCCAAAAAAGCACAUCUUUGCUACUCUCCAGUGUGGGCUGGGGAAAGUGGGAGAGUACAGAUUCCCUCCAGGACUACAGGACUGGUUUUUGCUUGCUCAAGAGUUACCCUUUCAUAUAUAGAUUUCUAGGCUCCUACAUUUUGAAGAAAUUUAUGCACGCUCCUUCAUUCCUUUUCAUUCAUUCAGUGAUGUCCCUUUUUUUCUAUUCCUUCACAGAAUAAAAGCUCAGCCAGCAUCUUUUCUGAUCAAAUAAUUAUUUCCUUUCCUAUUCUAUCUUGCAAGCUGAUUUCUUGAUCAGUUUGAGAUGAGACUUUUUUUCUCUCCUGCCCAGGAGGUAUUGACAUGUAUGCCUUUCUGCAUAAAUGCAUGCUACCUUUAGUGAAAAGGAAAAAGGGGGGGGGGAAAUAAGUUAAAAAAAAAAAAAAAAGAAAGAUGGGAAAAAACAGAAAAUGCAAGCAUUGAUCUCAGGACUCAUGCUAAGUAGCUGUUCUAGCUCUUGAGCUAUUUCCCUAUUACAUAAAUGUAACUGUUUGGUCCAGCUUCUGUCUGAUCUAGUACAUACUUACAUAUUUCAAUGUAUUAAAUGCUUUCUACUACAAUGCCAGUAUCUAGAACACCUGGAUAGUAGUGUACUAGCUAAAGACUUUAAUACUUCAUGUAGGAGAAGCUAUCAGGAACUUCGCAAUGCUUAAUUAUUUCUUUAUCUGGUCUCCAGCAAGAGCCAAAAAUAAAAAGAUCUGUGCAUUUA